rnacentral:lncRNA from 1 species
UGCGGCUGCAGGAAGCAGUGCUGCUGCUAGGUGCUCGCUCAGCUUUUGGGCUGGGGUAGCAGUGUUUCAAGUCCUUCCACCCAAAACAUUUCCAAACUGCUAGGAAUCAUCUCCUGGAAAAAGUAUGCUUGAGCCCAGCACCUCAAAAGUCUUGGACCUCGGCUAAAUGAGCCACCUGUCCUAGGUGAAGAGUAUUGGCUGCCACUCAGUCCCCUCUGUUCUACUUUUCCUUCUCUGCAUGCAAUCUCUCUUUUUUUCUUUUUUACCUCUAUGUUGUGAAUUACAUAAUAUUGUCCAAAUUUCCUCAUAAAAUAAAGUAUAAG